UACGUAGGGCGCGAGCGUUUGUCCGGAAUUAUUGGGCGUAAAGAGCUCGUAGGCGGCUUGUCGCGUCGGAUGUGAAAGCCCGGGGCUUAACCCCGGGUCUGCAUUCGAUACGGGCAGGCUAGAGUUCGGUAGGGGAGAUCGGAAUUCCUGGUGUAGCGGUGAAAUGCGCAGAUAUCAGGAGGAACACCGGUGGCGAAGGCGGAUCUCUGGGCCGAUACUGACGCUGAGGAGCGAAAGCGUGGGGAGCGAACAGG
rnacentral:rRNA from 1 species